AGCCCAUUUUUUAAAAAAAAACCUCAAAACCUCUCAAAAGUUCUCUCUCCUCUCCCCAAAAACCGACCACUUUUCGGUUGCCGGCGCCGCCGUAUGCGGCGGUCGGCGAAGCCCAAAAGCACCCCUUUUAAACGCCCUUUCGUGAGGAGUCUCGUUCUGGAGUUAGAAACACCGGUACAUCAGCAAAUUGGGCCGAAAAGGGGUGACUGUGGCAGUGUCAGGCAAAGCAGGUGGCGGAGGGCAGAUGAUCGGACGUGACGUGCGGCGCACAUGGUCCUGGCAUGCGGCGUUGGAGGAGGGACUAGGGUUCUGAAACCCUAGUCUUUGUUGGGUUUGGGCCAUAAUGUUUGGGCCUGUUUUUGUAAAUGGACUAGGUUUUAGUUUGGGCUGAAUUGGGUAGUUGGGUUUGUUGGGCUUAUUGGGCCGGGGUAUAAAAUUGGGCUGUACAACUUGGAAAUAAAAAAAAUUAUAUAAACUUUGAAGUGA